rnacentral:rRNA from 2 species
CAUCCUCCAAGGCUAAAUACUCCUGACUGACCGAUAGUGAACCAGUACCGUGAGGGAAAGGCGAAAAGAACCCCGGCGAGGGGAGUGAAAAAGAACCUGAAACCGUGUACGUACAAGCAGUGGGAGCACAGGUUUACCUGUGUGACUGCGUACCUUUUGUAUAAUGGGUCAGCGACUUAUAUUCUGUAGCAAGGUUAACCGUAUAGGGGAGCCGCAGGGAAACCGAGUCUUAAUUGGGCGUUAAGUUGCAGGGUAUAGACCCGAAACCCGGUGAUCUAGCCAUGGGCAGGUUGAAGGUUGGGUAACACUAACUGGAGGACCGAACCGACUAAUGUUGAAAAAUUAGCGGAUGACCUGUGGCU